rnacentral:lncRNA from 1 species
AUGAUUGAAAUCCAUUUAGUUUGAGGAUAGCAGGUGCUUUUGGUUUUCCUGAGCUGAAGUUCUACAUUAUUUUUCAAAAUCUUUAAUAUAUUCUUUCUGCCUUUCAAAAGGCAAAUUUUCCUCAAUCCCAUUAUCUCUUCCAUUCUUAUUUACUUUUCUGAGGAUAGAUAUGGUAUAAUCCAAAGUCAUGAUUCAUUCAUUUUAAAAGGAUGAAAAGUGAGGCUGUGAAUAAUUUAAAGAUGCAACAUCCAUUUGUAUCUUUAUAGCAUUUCAUUUUAAUCCAAUAUUAAUGUGGGCCAGCCCUG